CAUUUACACACUGCGUCGUACGAUUGAGAUAAGGAAACUUGGAAUGACUUUUCAUAGGUUUCCCAGAGACUAUGGGUUGAGGAGGAAUUGGAAGUUUGUCGGCUUAGACCUGGUGUCAUUCCAUCAGUGUUAAACUUCCCGGCUCAUCUUGGAAGAGUACGUGCCAGAAAGACCACGACCAAGCAGCCUUGAGAUCUUAGGCAGCGUCUCCCUGAGGUCCCUCUCUAUCUCCCCACACAUCCACCAACCACUGGAACACAUCUCCAAAGUUCUGCCGGGCCAGCUCAGCUUCCCCUCAGAAGAAGUUCCGCCACCUGCCAGAUGAAGGAGCCUUUUGAGAGGCAGCUGGCAUCGUGAUUGGACUGUACUUUGGUCUGUUCCAAUCCAGCUUCAGCUCCAGAGACGGCAGGCAGGACGAGUCAACGGAGGCCGGGUGGACGAAGGCAUGCAGCUGAGUACAAUACAGAAAACAACAGAGGAGGAGUGCAGCAGCCCAGGGCCAGAACAAACAGAGUAGCAUCGUAUGUCUCUUAGAAAACAUCAUAGUAUAGCCUUUGGUAUGAAAAAACACCAUCAUAUACAUCGUAUAUUGUACAAAUAACAAGUCAAAGGAAAGAGACA
ensembl:lncRNA